rfam:Myotis davidii contig104959, whole genome shotgun sequence.
GAGACACUCUUAGGGAGCAAGACUUGUUUCAGUGGGGCUUUGGUGCUCACUGAGUCUGCCCCUUGAGUGUGUUGCU